rnacentral:rRNA from 1 species
AGCAGCCGCGGUAAUUCCAGCUCCAAUAGCGUAUACUAAAGUUGUUGCAGUUAAAAAGCUCGUAGUUGAAUUUCGGGAUCAAAUUGUCGGUCGUGCCUCGGUACGUACUGGUAUUAUUGGUUCCUCCCUUCUGACGAACCACGAUGUCAUUAAUUUGGUGUCAUGGGAAAUCAGGACUGUUACUUUGAAAAAAUUAGAGUGUUUAAAGCAGGCUCGCGCUUGAAUACAUUAGCAUGGAAUAAUGAAAUAGGACGUUUGAUUCUAUUUUGUUGGUUUCUAGGAUCGACGUAAUGAUUAAUAGGGAUAGUUGGGGGCAUUAGUAUUCAAUUGUCAGAGGUGAAAUUCUUGGAUUUAUUGAAGACUAACUACUGCGAAAGCAUUUGCCAAGGAUGUUUUCAUUAAUCAAGAACGAAAGUUAGGGAUCGAAGACGAUCAGAUACCGUCGUAGUCUUAACCAUAAACUAUGACCGACUAGGGAUCGGGAUGAUGUUAACUUUUAUAGUACUCUAUUACGUCGCCU